AUGCAGAACGAGGUGGGUGACAUGGUGGACCUCUAUGUCCCCAGGAAGUGCUCGGCCACCAACAGGAUCAUCACGGCCAAGGACCACGCCUCUGUCCAGAUCAUCAUUGGUCACGUUGAUGAGAAUGGCCUCUAUGAUGGCCGCUUCACCAUCUUGGAUGGGACUCCAUCAAUUUAUGUACUCUGGACAACAGUAGUAUAG
rnacentral:rRNA from 1 species